rnacentral:rRNA from 1 species
CCUACGGGAGGCAGCAGUGGGGAAUAUUGGACAAUGGGGGGAACCCUGAUCCAGCCAUGCCGCGUGUGUGAAGAAGGCCCUCGGGUUGGAAAGCACUUUCAGUGAGGAAGAACGCCUGGUGGUUAAUACCCAUCAGGAAAGACAUCACUCACAGAAGAAGCACCGGCUAACUCCGUGCCAGCAGCCGCGGUAAUACGGAGGGUGCGAGCGUUAAUCGGAAUUACUGGGCGUAAAGCGCGCGUAGGUGGCUUGAUAAGCCGGUUGUGAAAGCCCCGGGCUCAACCUGGGAACGGCAUCCGGAACUGUCAAGCUAGAGUGCAGGAGAGGAAGGUAGAAUUCCCGGUGUAGCGGUGAAAUGCGUAGAGAUCGGGAGGAAUACCAGUGGCGAAGGCGGCCUUCUGGACUGACACUGACACUGAGGUGCGAAAGCGUGGGUAGCAAACAGGAUUAGAUACCCCAGUAGUC